UCUGAAGUGGCAGAUUAGUGCAAUAGAUUUAAGAUCUAUAAAAAAAGGUUUAAACCCUUUUUUCAGAA
rnacentral:tRNA from 1 species